GAACCGUUACGGGUCGGUUUCACCUUCAGAACCGCCAGAAUAGGAACCGCCAAAACCGGAACCGCAGACCCAAAUAGACCCAGAACCGGAACCGGAUACAACCUUAGUGGAGGAGUCAUGUACUGGAAUAUUCGUGCAUUAGGUUAUGAAGAGAGUGUACUAGAAUGUCUGAGCAUAGGUUAUGUCCACGGACUCUACGCAAAAGCUAAUGUGUACAAAAUUACUUGGUGCAGCAACAAACAAAAUGAGUUGCGGCGGCGGUCCAUAUAUCACCUAGUUCUGAAUUUAUGAGACGGUCAAAUACAGAUCUAGUAAACAAAGUAAAGAUUUAACUUACGUACACAGCAAGUGCAAAGAAUUUUUACAUUA
rnacentral:lncRNA from 1 species